rnacentral:rRNA from 1 species
GAAGAGUUUGAUCAUGGCUCAGAUUGAACGCUGGCGGCAGGCUUAACACAUGCAAGUCGAGCGGGGGAAGGUAGCUUGCUACCGGACCUAGCGGCGGACGGGUGAGUAAUGCUUAGGAAUCUGCCUAUUAGUGGGGGACAACAUCUCGAAAGGGAUGCUAAUACCGCAUACGUCCUACGGGAGAAAGCAGGGGAUCUUCGGACCUUGCGCUAAUAGAUGAGCCUAAGUCGGAUUAGCUAGUUGGUGGGGUAAAGGUCUACCAAGGCGACGAUCUGUAGCGGGUCUGAGAGGAUGAUCCGCCACACUGGGACUGAGACACGGCCCAGACUCCUACGGGAGGCAGCAGUGGGGAAUAUUGGACAAUGGGGGGAACCCUGAUCCAGCCAUGCCGCGUGUGUGAAGAAGGCCUUAUGGUUGUAAAGCACUUUAAGCGAGGAGGAGGCUACUCUAGUUAAUACCUAGAGAUAGUGGACGUUACUCGCAGAAUAAGCACCGGCUAACUCUGUGCCAGCAGCCGCGGUAAUACAGAGGGUGCGAGCGUUAAUCGGAUUUACUGGGCGUAAAGCGUGCGUAGGCGGCUUAUUAAGUCGGAUGUGAAAU